rnacentral:rRNA from 1 species
UACGGAGGGUGCAAGCGUUAUCCGGAUUCACUGGGUUUAAAGGGUGCGUAGGCGGGUUUGCAAGUGACGGGUGAAAUCCCUCGGCUUAACCGAGGAACUGCCUGUCAGACUGCAUGGCUUGAGACCGGGAGAGGUGAGUGGAAUUCCCAGUGUAGCGGUGAAAUGCGUAGAUAUUGGGAGGAACACCAGUGGCGAAGGCGGCUCACUGGACCGGUACUGACGCUGAGGCGCGAAAGCGUGGGGAGCAAACAGG